AUUGAAGGCUGGCGGCAGGCCUAACACAUGCAAGUCGACCGAGGGGCGGACGGGUGAGUAAUGUCAGGGAAACGGACUGAUGGAGGGGGAUAACUACUGGAAACGGUAGCUAAUACCGCAUACCAUCAGAAGUGCCCUGAUGUGAUUAGCUAGUAGGUCGGGUAAUGGCUCACCUAGGCGCAGAUCCCUCGCUGGUCUGAGAGGUUGACCAGUCACGCUGGAACGGAGACCCGUUCCAGACUCCUAGGGGAGGCAGCAGUGGGGAAUAUUGCACAAUGGUCGCUAUCCUGAUGCCGCCAUCCCGCGUAGGUGAAGAAGGCCUUCGGGUUGUAAAGCUCUUUCAGAGAGAAGGCGUUAAUCGCACAAGAAGCAACGGCUAACUCCGUGCCAGCCGCCGCGGUAAUUC
rnacentral:rRNA from 1 species